GACAGGAUUUGCGGAAAUAUCACAGAAAAAGGACAACUACCUUAUAGAUGAAAAAUCAGAAACAAGAGGAAGUUAGGUAAACACAGCUUUGAAAGUGAAGACAGGAAACUUGAAUUUAAUGUAAAAAGAGGAAGCUCAGAAAAUCAAGUACACAGAUGGAUGACAUGCUCUACGUAUGACUGAUAAAAGUAACAGAAGAAAUAUAGAUCCUAUAAAAUUCAAUUUUAAUACUUCAAGAUGGUGCAAAAUUGUGUCCGGAUGCCAAGCUUUUCCCAUGAUUUCCUGGAUGAAAACUGGAAGUUUUAAACAUUUUGAUCAGAUAUCUUCUGCUGACUGUCAUUUUCCUUACACAACUGCAGUGUCUCCAAAGUAUAAACCAUGAUGCUUUACAGUGGUAAAUGGGUACAGAUGCAGGAAUCCUUGGCAGUUCUGUGCAUGUUUAUAAAACCUGAUACUGUAUACUUUGACAACCUGAUGCUCAGCAUUUCAGAAGAAAUAUUCUGUCUCCAGCAUCCCUUUUCCUCACUUUCUCCUUCUUUUGGUUAUUUCCACAUACCAUGCAAAGAUCUAAUAUCCAAAAAUUUAGUGGUAUAAGAGUUCUCCUUCUGAAACAUUUUGAACUAAAUAUAAACAUUGCAGUCUCAGUCUACUAAAGGACUUGUUCCCCUUUGAUCUUCUGUUGUAGGUUUUUGCCAUUAAUACUAUUGUCUCCUUCCUGACAGUCUGUUAAGUGGACAAGAAUAGUACAAACCUCAUAAUGACAGAAAUCUCUAAAAUGAUGAAUAAAGAAAAUGAAAUCUCUAGAUGAU